GAGCACGUAGGUGGGUUUGUAAGUCAGAUGUGAAAGCCUUCUGUUCAACGGGAGAAUUGCAUCUGAAACUACAGACCUUGAGUAUAGGAGGGGAGAAUGGAACUUCUGGUGGAGCGGUGAAAUGCGUAGAUAUCAGAAGGAACGCCGGCGGCGAAAGCGAUUCUCUGGCCUAUUACUGACACUCAGUGUGCGAAAGCUAGGGGAGCAAACGGGAUUAGAUACCCCGGUAGUCCUAGCCGUAAACGAUGGGCACUAAGUAGAGGGGUUUC
rnacentral:rRNA from 1 species